rnacentral:rRNA from 1 species
CGGCAAUGGAGGAAACUCUGACCGAGCAACGCCGCGUGAACGAUGAAGUAUUUCGGUAUGUAAAGUUCUUUUAUUAAAGAAGAAACGCUAGUGGAAAAACUAGUUUGACGUUAUUUAAUGAAUAAGCCCCGGCAAACUAUGUGCCAGCAGCCGCGGUAAUACAUAGGGGGCGAGCGUUAUCCGGAAUUAUUGGGCGUAAAGGGUGCGUAGGCGGUUUAGUAAGUCUCUAGUUUAAAUUCAACGCUUAACGUUGUCCUGCUAGAGAAACUACUAGACUAGAGUAAGAUAGAGGCAAGCGGAAUUCCAUGUGUAGCGGUAAAAUGUGUAAAUAUAUGGAGGAACACCAGAGGCGUAGGCGGCUUGCUGGGUCUUUACUGACGCUGAGGCACGAAAGCGUGGGGAGCAAACAGGAUUAGAUACCCUGGUAGUCCACGCCGUAAACGAUGAGUACUAAGUGUCGGGGGUUUCCUCGGUACUGAAGUUAACACAUUAAGUACUCCGCCUGAGUAGUACGUACGCAAGUAUGAAACUUAAAGGAAUUGACGGGAUCCCGCACAAGCGGUGGAUCAUGUUGUUUAAUUCGAAGAUACACGAAAAACCUUACCAGGUCUUGACAUUAUUCUGCGAAGCUAUAGAAAUAUAGUGGAGGUUAUCAGAAUAACAGGUGGUGCAUGGUUGUCGUCAGCUCGUGUCGUGAGAUGUUAGGUUAAGUCCUAAAACGAGCGCAACCCUUGUCGUUAGUUACCAGCACGUUAUGGUGGGGACUUUAGCGAGACUGCCAAUGAAAAAAUUGGAGGAAGGUGAGGAUUACGUCAAAUCAUCAUGCCCCUUAUGAUCUGGGCUACAAACGUGAUACAAUGGCUAUUACAAAGAGCAGCUGAAACGUGAGUUGUUAGCUAA